UGGUGGNNCAUGUGGUUUAAUUCGAUGCAACGCGAAGAACCUUACCUACUCUUGACAUCCACAGAAUUCGGCAGAGAUGCCUUAGUGCCUUCGGGAACUGUGAGACAGGUGCUGCAUGGCUGUCGUCAGCUCGUGUUGUGAAAUGUUGGGUUAAGUCCCGCAACGAGCGCAACCCUUAUCCUUUGUUGCCAGCACGUAAUGGUGGGAACUCAAAGGAGACUGCCGGUGAUAAACCGGAGGAAGGUGGGGAUGACGUCAAGUCAUCAUGGCCCUUACGAGUAGGGCUACACACGUGCUACAAUGGCGUAUACAAAGAGAAGCGAACUCGCGAGAGCCAGCGGACCUCAUAAAGUACGUCGUAGUCCGGAUCGGAGUCUGCAACUCGACUCCGNGAAGUCGGAAUCGCNNG
rnacentral:rRNA from 1 species